rnacentral:rRNA from 1 species
UACAGAGGGUGCAAGCGUUGUUCGGAAUUAUUGGGCGUAAAGCGCGUGUAGGCGGCUUUGCAAGUCGGGUGUGAAAUCCCUCAGCUUAACUGAGGAAGUGCGCCCGAAACUGCCGAGCUUGAGUACCGGAGAGGGUGGCGGAAUUCCCCAAGUAGAGGUGAAAUUCGUAGAUAUGGGGAGGAACACCGGUGGCGAAGGCGGCCACCUGGGCGGAUACUGACGCUGAGACGCGAAAGCGUGGGGAGCAAACAGG